ACGUAAGGUAGUAUGAUAUGUUGAACAUAUCUCAUAUAGCAUCAUACGUAAGGUAGUAUGAUAUGUUGAACAUAUCCCAUAUAGCAUCAUACGUAAGGUAGUAUGAUAUGUUGAACAUAUCUCAUAUAGCAUCAUACGUAAGGUAGUAUGAUAUGUUGAACAUAUCUCAUAUAGCAUCAUACGUAAGGUGGUAUGAUAUGUUGAACAUAUCUCAUAUAGCAUCAUACGUAAGGUGGUAUGAUAUGUUGAACAUAUCCCAUAUAGCAUCAUACGUAAGAUAGUAUGAUAUGUUGAACUUAAUUAAUUUAAGGAUACAUAACAGGGUACAUUGGUACAAUUAAAGACAUACAGAACUUGCUACCUUUCUGAAAACACACGUUGCAGAUGACAUGACCACAGGUAGUAACAGCUAGUUUGCGGUCAGGACCAGGGAGGUUGAAGCAGGAGUUACAGCAGAUCCAGGGUUUCAGGUUGUACUCCAUAGUCUGGGCCUUGUCUUUGUGUCUCAGCACUGGGGUCAACAUCAAAAUGAAUCCUCUGCAUUGGAAAUAUCAGAACAAUAUUCAAAUAUGGUUGUGGAGCAACACAGUCCAGCAGACUCAGUGCAUGGAGGAACUCACGAGCCUGUCACCGGCGAAAAUGAAAAACCUUAGAAUCGAGUUGGACUGCAUGCACAACAAUGUGGGCCAGAGGCAUGGGAUGUGACUUAGGAUUUUCCAAAUCUGUCAUGCUUUUUUAAUUAAUAUCUAGAAGAAAAAUGGCAUGGUGGUCUGGAUCACAGUGAUAGUGAGGCCAAGAGGGGAGUUAGGGUUCUUUUUCCCAAUACUCCAAAAGAAAAUGACCUGAGAAAAACACAACACAGACAGCCGAUAUUCCACAUGUUUUAUUAUAUCUAAUGUGCUUAAAAUUGCUUUGGAGUAAGCCAUUAUUACAGAAAAAGUAGAGAUGAUUUUGCAAAUUAAGCCUGCAAAUACUAAUAGAAUACUACUGACUUGCCUAGUUAAAUAAAGGUUCAAUUAAAAAUGUAAUAGAAUAUCAAACAAGUGCCAUAUGCCUCCUGGUUGACUUUAUCAUGAUCUCUGCUAACCCAAUGAACUUUUUAAUUGGUUUACUUCAUCAUGAUCUCUGCUAACUCAUGUAACUUUUGAAAUGGUUGACUUCAUCAUGAUCUCUGCUAAUCCAUGGAACUUUUUAAACCACCUGCCCAUAGAACUCACCUGUCAACCAUGCAGAACAAUGUCCUCCUCUCCACCUGCCCAUAAAACUGACCUGUGAUCAGCAUGUUACCAAAUCAAAUCAAAUCAAAUCUGGAAUCUGGAAUCUCCUUGAUGAGGCACUUUUGCUAAUGUUCACCCAGAUCAAAGUACAUAACAGCCAUCAGUGCCAGGUAACACAGAACCCACAUCCCAAUGCCCCUCGCAUUCAUUUUGACACACAGUAUGUGACAAAGUUAAAUGAGUAUAAUGAGCCUUAUGGUUGCUAGUGUGCAGGCGACAACUCUGGUGUGAGAAACUGACACCUGCUGUUGCUGCGACCGACCGUCCAAACUGUGCGUCUGAGUGGGUACCCAAGGUCAGCAGAGAAACUGAUAAGCCUGACCAGUAGUAGAAGCCCACAUGUACUGAUAAAGACACAUGCAAUUGUUCACUUAUUAACUAGUGUGCACUGUACCAUCAUGAAACCUACACUCUUAGAAAAAAGGGUUCCAAAAGGGUUCUUCAGCUGUCCCCAUAGGAAACCCCUUUAGGGUUCCAUAAAGAAUCAUCUGUGGAAAGUGUUCUACAUAGAACCAAAAAGGGUUCUACCUGGAACCAAAAGGAGCUCUUCAAAGUAUUUCCUUAUGGGGACAGCUGAAGAACCCUUUUAGGUUCUAGAUAGCACCUUUUUCCCCUAAGAUUGUACUCGCAUAGUAUCUGCAAAAACUGUCCUCCGUCAAAAGCCAAGAAUCUGUCUAUUUUUCCUGUUACUUUUCCCAGUAAUUUUCCAUCAUUUGUCAUUGGUUUGAAAUAAGACCAACACUUGAGAAACAAGCAGAAAUAUAUGAAGUGGAAGGCACCAAUGGCCCAGAUGUAGGGUAUGAUUGCUAUUUCUUGGAAUGUUCCAGCGUCAGUCUAUUUCUCAGGUUUUCUGUAGCUUAGGUAGCUUAGGUAGCUUUAGGUAGCUUAGGGGUUAGGGAAGAGCUUAUCCUGUGACAUGGCAUGAUGAAGUAUGUCAGGUAUGACUAAUGAAAGCUUUGGCAUAGAUAGCAAACAACAUCAAUGAGUAACAAAGAUUUUCAUGACAGGGACACUCCUUUGAGAUCGUUGUGUUUCGUAGGCCUAUUUUAUGCUGUGGUGUAUGCUGUUGUGUAGCAUGAUGUAUUUUGUUGAUUGUAUGAAAUAUUGUUGCUUUACAUCAAUUAGAAAUAAAAUUGCAAUCAACUUA